rnacentral:rRNA from 1 species
GGGGAAUUGUUCGCAAUAGGCGCAAGCCUGACGACGCAACGCCGCGUGGAGGAUGAAGAUUUUCGGAUCGUAAACUCCUGUCGAAUGGGACGAAUAGAUUGCGGGUUAACAGCCCGUAGUCCUGACGGUAGCGUUAAAGGAAACCCCGGCUAACUCCGUGCCAGCAGCCGCGGUAAUACGUAGGGUGCAAGCGUUGUCCGGAAUUAUUGGGCGUAAAGAGCUCGUAGGCGGUGUGUCGCGUCUGCUGUGAAAACUCAGGGCUCAACUCUGAGCUUGCAGUGGGUACGGGCACACUUGAGUGCGGUAGGGGAGACUGGAAUUCCUGGUGUAGCGGUGAAAUGCGCAGAUAUCAGGAGGAACACCGGUGGCGAAGGCGGGUCUCUGGGCCGUAACUGACGCUGAGGAGCGAAAGCAUGGGGAGCGAA